CUAUACAUGACUCUGCGCAUAUCAAUAAGCGGAGGAAAAGAAACUAACAAGGAUUCCCCUAGUAACGGCGAGUGAAGCGGGAAGAGCUCAAAUUUGAAAUCUUAAAGGGUUUCCCUUUACGAAUUGUAGUUUAAUGAAGUGUUUUCUGUUGAGGUUUUGGUAAAAGUUCUUUGGAAUAGGACAUCAUAGAGGGUGAGAAUCCCGUAUUUGACCUUUACUUUCAACUUUGUGAUACACUUUCAAAGAGUCGGAUUGUUUGGGAAUGCAGUCCAAAAUGGGUGGUAAAUUUCAUCUAAAGCUAAAUAUUGGCGAGAGACCGAUAGCGAACAAGUACCGUGAGGGAAAGAUGAAAAGAACUUUGAAAAGAGAGUUAAACAGUACGUGAAAUUGUCAAAAGGGAAGCGUUUGACACCAGUGUUGUUUUUCUGAAAAUCAAUUAAAGAACUGUUUAUGCUAAGCUGUUUAGACUUUAUCAGCUAACUGUUUAGUUUUGAGCUUUUCUUUAAUGCACUUUUCAGUUAACAAGUCAACAUCAAUUUCUUUUGCUGUAAAAAAGCUUGAGGAAGGUGGCUUGAGAUUCGUCUUAAGUGUUUAUAGCCUCUUGCCUAUGCAGUCGGAGAGAUUGAGGUCUGCAGCGUAGAUCCUUCGGGGCUAAAUGCAUUUGUGCUAAGUUAUAGCAUUUUAUAGACAACUUGUUGACUAUGAUUUGUCUUGUAGCUUACUCGCUUAUGUUAUUUUACCUACGCUUAGGAUGUUGAUCUACAGAGCGAGAGU
rnacentral:rRNA from 1 species